CUGGAAUUAUGUCUCGUUGAAAUUUGACGGCCUUCUCUGACAUCAUCUUGGCCUGCUGUGAUCCCCAGUGGUCCACCUGCCAAUUUCCCCUUGACUGAUGAUGCUUCAGUGCUGCCGUAGUGGAGUCCCCUCCUCUGCUCCAUUCGAAGCCCCUCCGCCCAGCUUUAAGAGGGAAUGCAUAAAUCUAUCUGGAAAACUUCUGUUAAGUACACUGUGUGACUUCUGCAAGAACAGACAAAUAAGGACCGAAGACUGGGCUCGGAGGUAAGACUCUGGCUGCUCUU
rnacentral:lncRNA from 1 species